AGAGUUUGAUCAUGGCUCAGAUUGAACGCUGGCGGCAGGCCUAACACAUGCAAGUCGAACGGUAACAGGAAGCAGCUUGCUGCUUCGCUGACGAGUGGCGGACGGGUGAGUAAUGUCUGGGAAACUGCCUGAUGGAGGGGGAUAACUACUGGAAACGGUGGCUAAUACCGCAUAACGUCGCAAGACCAAAGAGGGGGACCUUCGGGCCUCUUGCCAUCAGAUGUGCCCAGAUGGGAUUAGCUUGUUGGUGAGGUAACGGCUCACCAAGGCGACGAUCCCUAGCUGGUCUGAGAGGAUGACCAGCCACACUGGAACUGAGACACGGUCCAGACUCCUACGGGAGGCAGCAGUGGGGAAUAUUGCACAAUGGGCGCAAGCCUGAUGCAGCCAUGCCGCGUGUAUGAAGAAGGCCUUCGGGUUGUAAAGUACUUUCAGCGGGGAGGAAGGUGUUGUGGUUAAUAACCACAGCAAUUGACGUUACCCGCAGAAGAAGCACCGGCUAACUCCGUGCCAGCAGCCGCGGUAAUACGGAGGGUGCAAGCGUUAAUCGGAAUUACUGGGCGUAAAGCGCACGCAGGCGGUCUGUCAAGUCGGAUGUGAAAUCCCCGGGCUCAACCUGGGAACUGCAUUCGAAACUGGCAGGCUUGAGUCUUGUAGAGGGGGGUAGAAUUCCAGGUGUAGCGGUGAAAUGCGUAGAGAUCUGGAGGAAUACCGGUGGCGAAGGCGGCCCCCUGGACAAAGACUGACGCUCAGGUGCGAAAGCGUGGGGAGCAAACAGGAUUAGAUACCCUGGUAGUCCACGCCGUAAACGAUGUCUACUUGGAGGUUGUGCCCUUGAGGCGUGGCUUCCGGAGCUAACGCGUUAAGUAGACCGCCUGGGGAGUACGGCCGCAAGGUUAAAACUCAAAUGAAUUGACGGGGGCCCGCACAAGCGGUGGAGCAUGUGGUUUAAUUCGAUGCAACGCGAAGAACCUUACCUGGUCUUGACAUCCACGGAAGUUUUCAGAGAUGAGAAUGUGCCUUCGGGAACCGUGAGACAGGUGCUGCAUGGCUGUCGUCAGCUCGUGUUGUGAAAUGUUGGGUUAAGUCCCGCAACGAGCGCAACCCUUAUCCUUUGUUGCCAGCGAUUAGGUCGGGAACUCAAAGGAGACUGCCAGUGAUAAACUGGAGGAAGGUGGGGAUGACGUCAAGUCAUCAUGGCCCUUACGACCAGGGCUACACACGUGCUACAAUGGCGCAUACAAAGAGAAGCGACCUCGCGAGAGCAAGCGGACCUCAUAAAGUGCGUCGUAGUCCGGAUUGGAGUCUGCAACUCGACUCCAUGAAGUCGGAAUCGCUAGUAAUCGUGGAUCAGAAUGCCACGGUGAAUACGUUCCCGGGCCUUGUACACACCGCCCGUCACACCAUGGGAGUGGGUUGCAAAAGAAGUAGGUAGCUUAACCUUCGGGAGGGCGCUUACCACUUUGUGAUUCAUGACUGGGGUGAAGUCGUAACAAGGUAACCGUAGGGGAACCUGCGGUUG
rnacentral:rRNA from 2 species